rnacentral:sRNA from 1 species
CGUAGACGACCCAAGAGCCUGCCAGGGUGCUGUACUUAGUAGAGUAGUUAUCAUACUGCGAUCUAUUGAGGCUCAGCCUUUGACAGGAAGGUUUGUUCACU